CGGCUUCGCGUGGGGCAUGACGUCGGGGUUCGCGAUCCCGACGGCGCAGGCGUUCGGCGCGCACGACGCCGC
rnacentral:tRNA from 1 species